GAUGAACGCCGGCGGCGUGCUUAACACAUGCAAGUCGAGCGAGAAGUUUUGAAAAGAUUCUUCGGAUGCAAUUUAAAAUGGAAAGCGGCGGACGGGUGAGUAACGCGUAGGCAACCUGCCCCAUACAAAGGGAUAGCAUUUGGAAACGAAUAUUAAUACCUUAUGAAACUUAACUAGUGCAUGCUAGGUAGGUCAAAGAUUUAUCGGUAUGGGAUGGGCCUGCGUCUGAUUAGCUAGUUGGUGAGGUAACGGCUCACCAAGGCGACGAUCAGUAGCCGACCUGAGAGGGUGAACGGCCACAUUGGAACUGAGACACGGUCCAAACUCCUACGGGAGGCAGCAGUGGGGAAUAUUGCACAAUGGGGGAAACCCUGAUGCAGCAACGCCGCGUGAACGAUGAAGGCCUUUGGGUCGUAAAGUUCUGUUCUAGGUGAUGAAAACUGACAGUAACCUAGGAGAAAGCCCCGGCUAACUCCGUG
rnacentral:rRNA from 1 species